AAGCCUCUGCCCUCCCGUUGCCCGGAGGCACUGGGAGGUGGGUGAGCCACCAGACACAACGGAGGGAGGCCAGUGACACAUCAGGUCUCCCGUGCAGCUGCCAGGGCCACGAAGGACCGUCGGACGGGGCAGGUGCCCCCAGCAGCACGCUGAAGGGAGAGCAGGACGUGCGCCCGGCGGGGGCGUGCAUUGGUGCCAAAGCCAGGAAAUGGCAGAAGAACGGUUCCCGGAGGAGAGUGGCACCCGGCUGGAGAAGCCACAGAUGACCCUCGAUGGGGGUGGAGGAAGGACCCCUACCUCUCCGCACAGCCUCAAGAUGGGGAAGCAGCAGAGCAGGGAGGCUGGGAUCUGCCCAGGAUCACACAGGAGUGAGCAGCAGAGGAGGGAUUCACACCCAUGUCUGGCCAAGUGCACAGCCCAGGCUCCCAUUCCAAGAAGACCUCCUGCCUCCUUAAGCCCCAAAUAAACAGGGGUGGC